rnacentral:tRNA from 1 species
GUUAAAUAAUUUAUUAAAAAUAUUUACCUUGAAAGUAAAAAAUAGAAACAUCUUUUAACUUCACU